UUUAUCUGGUAAAGCGAAUGAUUAGAGGCCUUGGGGCCGAAACGAUCUCAACCUAUUCUCAAACUUUAAAUGGGUAAGAAGCCCGGCUCGCUGGCUUGGAGCCGGGCGUGGAAUGCGAGCCGCCUAGUGGGCCACUUUUGGUAAGCAGAACUGGCGCUGCGGGAUGAACCGAACGCCGGGUUAAGGCGCCCGAUGCCGACGCUCAUCAGACCCCAGAAAAGGUGUUGGUCGAUAUAGACAGCAGGNCGGUGGCCNUG
rnacentral:rRNA from 1 species